rnacentral:snRNA from 1 species
GUGCUCACUUUGGCAGCACAUAUACUAAAACUGGAAGGAUACAGAGAAGAUUAGCAUGGGCCCUGCACAAGGAUGACACGCAAAUUUGUGAAGUGUUCCAUAUUUUU